rnacentral:rRNA from 1 species
AGAGUUUGAUCAUAGCUCAGAUUGAACGCUGGCGGCAGGCCUAACACAUGCAAGUCGAGCGGUAGCACAGAGAGCUUGCUCUCGGGUGACGAGCGGCGGACGGGUGAGUAAUGUCUGGGAAACUGCCUGAUGGAGGGGGAUAACUACUGGAAACGGUAGCUAAUACCGCAUAAUGUCGCAAGACCAAAGUGGGGGACCUUCGGGCCUCAUGCCAUCAGAUGUGCCCAGAUGGGAUUAGCUAGUAGGUGGGGUAACGGCUCACCUAGGCGACGAUCCCUAGCUGGUCUGAGAGGAUGACCAGCCACACUGGAACUGAGACACGGUCCAGACUCCUACGGGAGGCAGCAGUGGGGAAUAUUGCACAAUGGGCGCAAGCCUGAUGCAGCCAUGCCGCGUGUGUGAAGAAGGCCUUCGGGUUGUAAAGCACUUUCAGCGGGGAGGAAGGCGUUAAGGUUAAUAACCUUGGCGAUUGACGUUACCCGCAGAAGAAGCACCGGCUAACUCCGUGCCAGCAGCCGCGGUAAUACGGAGGGUGCAAGCGUUAAUCGGAAUUACUGGGCGUAAAGCGCACGCAGGCGGUCUGUCAAGUCGGAUGUGAAAUCCCCGGGCUCAACCUGGGAACUGCAUUCGAAACUGGCAGGCUAGAGUCUUGUAGAGGGGGGUAGAAUUCCAGGUGUAGCGGUGAAAUGCGUAGAGAUCUGGAGGAAUACCGGUGGCGAAGGCGGCCCCCUGGACAAAGACUGACGCUCAGGUGCGAAAGCGUGGGGAGCAAACAGGAUUAGAUACCCUGGUAGUCCACGCCGUAAACGAUGUCGAUUUGGAGGUUGUGCCCUUGAGGCGUGGCUUCCGGAGCUAACGCGUUAAAUCGACCGCCUGGGGAGUACGGCCGCAAGGUUAAAACUCAAAUGAAUUGACGGGGGCCCGCACAAGCGGUGGAGCAUGUGGUUUAAUUCGAUGCAACGCGAAGAACCUUACCUGGUCUUGACAUCCACAGAACUUUCCAGAGAUGGAUUGGUGCCUUCGGGAACUGUGAGACAGGUGCUGCAUGGCUGUCGUCAGCUCGUGUUGUGAAAUGUUGGGUUAAGUCCCGCAACGAGCGCAACCCUUAUCCUUUGUUGCCAGCGGUCCGGCCGGGAACUCAAAGGAGACUGCCAGUGAUAAACUGGAGGAAGGUGGGGAUGACGUCAAGUCAUCAUGGCCCUUACGACCAGGGCUACACACGUGCUACAAUGGCAUAUACAAAGAGAAGCGACCUCGCGAGAGCAAGCGGACCUCAUAAAGUAUGUCGUAGUCCGGAUUGGAGUCUGCAACUCGACUCCAUGAAGUCGGAAUCGCUAGUAAUCGUAGAUCAGAAUGCUACGGUGAAUACGUUCCCGGGCCUUGUACACACCGCCCGUCACACCAUGGGAGUGGGUUGCAAAAGAAGUAGGUAGCUUAACCUUCGGGAGGGCGCUUACCACUUUGUGAUUCAUGACUGGGGUGAAGUCGUAACAAGGUAACCGUAGGGGAACCUGCGGUUGGAUCACCU